CGAGAUAUAACUUAAUGGUAGAGUAGUUCACUUCUAAUGAAUUUGUAUUGGUUCGACUCCGCAUCUUCUUUU